UCUGCUAAUCUUAAUGUUGGGGUUUGGAAGGGUUGUUAGGAUUCCAUCGGUAGAUGGAGAAGGUCUUGAGCAAAGAGGUGUCUUGUGCUUUGGCU